UUAGUGGGCCAGACAAUCGCUGAAAAGACAUGUCCUCAAACCGCAUGUUAUUUUUUGGAGGAAAGUCCGGGCUCCUUUGGGUAAAGCGCCAGGUAACGCCUGGGAAGUGUAAGCUUACGGAAAGUGCCACAGAAAAUAGACCGCUUUUUUAAGAGUUUUCUUUUAAGAAAGUAAGGGUGAAAAGGUGCGGUAAGAGCGCACCGCAGGCUUGGUAACAAGUCUGGCAAGGCAAACCCCGCUUGGAGCAAGGCUAAAUAGAGAUUGAUAUAUCUUCGGAUAUGAGGUACCACCCUUACUUCACGCCAAUCAAUCUGGGUAAGCUGCUGGAGGUGUUUAGCGAUAGACAUCCUAGAGAAAUGAUUGUCCCCGACAGAACCCGGCUUAUCGGCCCACUUUUUUU
rnacentral:RNase_P_RNA from 1 species